rnacentral:rRNA from 1 species
GACGAACGCUGGCGGCGUGCUUAACACAUGCAAGUCGAACGGAAAGGCCCUGCUUGCAGUGUGCUCGAGUGGCGAACGGGUGAGUAACACGUGGGUGAUCUGCCCCUUACUUUGGGAUAAGCCUGGUAAACUGGGUCUAAUACUGGAUAGGACCAUGCUGUAGGUGGUGUGGUGGAAAGAUUAGUUUCGGUAAGGGAUGAGCUCGCGGCCUAUCAGCUUGUUGGUGGGGUAAUGGCCUACCAAGGCGUCGACGGGUAGCCGGCCUGAGAGGGUGGACGGCCACAUUGGGACUGAGAGACGGCCCAGACUCCUACGGGAGGCAGCAGUGGGGAAUAGUGCACAAGGGGCGCAAGCCUGAUGCAGCGACGCCGCGUGGGGGAUGACGGCCUUCGGGUUGUAAACUCCUUUCAGCCAUGACGAAGCCCUUGUGGUGACGGUAGUGGUAGAAGAAGCACCGGCUAACUACGUG